rnacentral:lncRNA from 10 species
CUCCAAGCCAGUUUCCUGCCUGAGUCUUCAUGCUUUUCUUGUUCUCAUUCAGCCUGAUACUACUGGAAAUGUUCGUGGAAACAUGUAACAGGCAAACUGCAAGGGCCCAGGGAACAGAAAGAUUUCAAGGUUCUACUGCCCUGCUCCUUGGCUGACUCAGAAUUGCUGCUUCCAAAGCGAAACACCAUCACAAUAUCUACCCCACUCCUACGUGACACCUCAUGAAGAAUCUCAAACCUUCCUCCAAAAUGUCUUGAGAGCUAAGUUGUAGGCUAGAUUUGAAUGUCUCUCAGCAGAAUACCAAGCUUGCCAACAGUAUAGAAUUUACGUUAAUAUAAUCCAUUGGUACUACUUAUGUAUUAUCUUCAUCCACUGAAACACUAGAAUUUCAACAAUAAUUUAUUUUUUCUUUACAUACAUUCUCUAAAAAUAGAAGAGAGUUUUUAAAAUAUUGAAGUUGAAAAUAAGAAAACAUGAUUAUUUUUCUCCUAACCUUAAGCAUAUUCUCACACCUGAAAAGGGAUUUAAAAAAUGUUAAAAUCACGUUUUGUAUUACUUUGUUAAAAUUGCCCUCACAAUGGGAUACCAACUUCCCACAGUAAUAUUUUAAAGCAUUCUGGUGCUGUGAAGAAUAUUUAAUUAUGUGAUUAUUUUUCAUUAUGUGUGUAGUUAAUUGUCUCUACGUCAAAUGUAAAUCAGUUUGAACAAUAAAAGUGAAUGAGUAAUGUUCUUGCUGUGAG